rnacentral:misc_RNA from 1 species
AACGCACAUUGCGCCCUCUGGUAUUCCGGAGGGCAUGCCUGUUCGAGCGUCAUUUCAACCCUCAAGCCUGGCUUGGUGAUGGGGCACUGCCUUCUCUGGAGGGCAGGCCCUGAAAUACAGCGGCGAGCUCGCCAGGACUCCGAGCGCAGUAGUUAAACCCUCGCUUUGGAAGGACUGGCGGCGCCCUGCCGUUAAACCCCAACUUCUGAAAAGUUGACCUCGGAUCAGGUAGGAAUACCCGCUGAACUUAA